AUUGAACGCUGGCGGCAGGCCUAACACAUGCAAGUCGAACGAGUGGCGGACGGGUGAGUAAUGUCUGGGAAAAUGCCUGAUGGAGGGGGAUAACUACUGGAAACGGUAGCUAAUACCGCAUACCAUCGGAUGUGCCCAGAUGGGAUUAGCUAGUAGGUGGGGUAAAGGCUCACCAAGGCGACGAUCCCUAGCUGGUCUGAGAGGAUGGCAUGCCCCACUGGAACUGAGACACGGUCCAGACGCGUCCACUACUACCCCUUCAUAAAUAUUGCGCAAUGCGGGCAAGCCUAAUACAGCCAUGCCGCGUGUAUGAAGAAUCCCUUCGGGUUAUAAAGUACUUUCAGCUGGGAGGCGUUACCCUCAGAAGAAGCACCGGCUAACUCCGUGCCAGCAGCCGCGGUAAUAC
rnacentral:rRNA from 1 species